CUACCUCCACCUGCAGCAGCCCGCAACUCCACUGGCACAAACGUUUGGAUGGAGAUGGAGCGCGUGUGUUCCGACACCUAAAGUUAGUAAUUUGACUUCAGCCUGUCCCUGAACCAAGAGAAGCAGCUGAGAACAUCAGUGCUCUGUGCAAGCCCUCACUCCCCAGAAGAAGAAGGGAAGAGCUGAGGCAAGCACCUGAGGGCUAUUCUUCCCAAAGUCACUAAUCAGGUCCACUUAUAUGAAGAUUUUCUUCUGCCUCGGCCACCCGAGACAGCUAGUCUGCCACCGAGACUCCCC